UAGAUUAAAUGUAGGCGAUAUA
rnacentral:miRNA from 1 species